UUCAAUGCAACCAUUUUCCUUUUAACGCUUGCCUCUCUCUCUCUCUCUCUCUUUUUAUUUAUUUGGUUUUAUGUAUGAGUGAACAACCCUCUUUGUCUCUAAACUCUUUAAUAUAUGAGAUUCUCUCAUCUCCUCCUCUUCCUACUCCAUUAAUGUUUCUUCUCUUCUAUACCUUGAAAGCUGUUUUUUUUCAUGUCUUUAGCUUUCUUUGUUCAUUAUUUUCUAUCAUCUGUUGAUGUUGAAGGGAGGAAGAUGGUGUGAGAGCAUAGGGAAAGCAUACAUUUAAAAAAGUAAGAAUGUUAACGAGAUAUUGGUGCGGUUCAAUUUAAGAGCAUCACUCUAAAGGUUAAGAGUUAUGUUAUUUGAUUGAGCCGUGCCAAUAUCACGUAAUAAUUAUACACCUUUGCUCUUAGUAAAAGUAUGAGAGUUCCAAAGGUAGGUAAGCCCCACUGCUUUUUAAACAGCCUCUUUUUGCCAUGUUUAAUGAUGCUACUGCUCUUUUCUCCCUUUAGAUUAGUUUUUGAAUGUUGAGGGCUUCAUACCAUACAAGAUUACAGAUAAGAUUGUCCAUAUAUAUGUAUGUAUGUAUUGAGUGCAGGAUUUUGAAUUUCUUAUUGACCAUUUUUGAAAUGCAUGCAAGGUGGGUUGAAGAACCCAGACAAGAACCAUCGAAGAGGACAAUUUCAAGGAGGAUUAAAUAUUAUUAUUUUAUUGAGUUGCCAACUUGCCAUCAAGCUCAGUCAAAGCCAAAUUUCAUGCAGGGAAAUUUCCACCAUAACAUGGUUGUGAAUGGAGUAGUUUAUGUAUGGACAAAAACAAAGACAAUGUCAAAGUUAUUGUUUAGUGUGUAGGCUUUUCCAUGUUUCUUGUUGUCCAAAUGGCAAUGGAAUCGUCCAUUUGGUUGAAUUUAGAGAAAGUUUUGAUGGGGUUGGUUACAUAGAUUUAAUCAAUGAAACUGAACUUUUAUGUU